CAAUAGCGUAUAUUAAAGUUGUUGCGGUUAAAAAGCUCGUAGUUGGAUUUCUGCCGAGGACGACCGGUCCGCCCUCUGGGUGAGCAUCUGGCUCGGCCUGGGCAUCUUCUUGGAGAACGUAUCUGCACUUGACUGUGUGGUGCGGUAUUCAGGACUUUUACUUUGAGGAAAUUAGAGUGUUUCAAGCAGGCACACGCCUUGAAUACAUUAGCAUGGAAUAAUAAGAUAGGACCUCGGUUCUAUUUUGUUGGUUUCUAGAUCUGAGGUAAUGAUUAAUAGGGAUAGUUGGGGGCAUUCGUAUUUAACUGUCAGAGGUGAAAUUCUUGGAUUUGUUAGAGACGGACUACUGCGAAAGCAUUUGCCAAGGAUGUUUUCAUCGA
rnacentral:rRNA from 1 species